UACGUAGGGCGCAAGCGUUGUCCGGAAUUAUUGGGCGUAAAGAGCUCGUAGGCGGCUUGUCACGUCGGGUGUGAAAGCCCGGGGCUUAACCCCGGGUCUGCAUUCGAUACGGGCAGGCUAGAGUGUGGUAGGGGAGAUCGGAAUUCCUGGUGUAGCGGUGAAAUGCGCAGAUAUCAGGAGGAACACCGGUGGCGAAGGCGGCAUCCUGGACCGACACUGACACUGAGGAGCGAAAGCCAGGGGAGCAAACGGG
rnacentral:rRNA from 1 species